UACAGGGGUUCUAUUGAAAUAUCGUGGAAGAACCGAUUCAGUUUUUUUAAACACAUCACAAGGACAAGUACAAAGUAUAUAAUCUUUGCUCUGAGAGGCUGUAUGAUGCUUCAUUGUUUGAAGGAAAGGUGGCUAGUUUCUCAUUUGAUGACCAUAAUUACCCCCCCCAAAUUCGAUUGAUCAUAUCAUUUUGUCAAAGUGCUUACUCCUGGCUGACGGAGGAUAUUGAGAAUGUUGUGGUUGUGCACCGUAAAAGGACAGGGUUGAUGAUCUCCAGCCUUCUAUACUUGAAGUUCUUACCCACUGCUGACGAGAAUGGACUACUACAACUAGAAAAGACAUGUGGAUGGGAACGAGCUUGUUUUGCCAAAUCAAAUUGUGAGCAAUUGAUUUCUAGUGAUU